rnacentral:lncRNA from 1 species
AUGUAUAAUGAGGUCAUAUUGCUUUGUGAUUCUCUUCCUUUGCAACCACAAAAGUAUAUAUAUGUUAUUAAAUUUCUAGUUAUCUUACCUGUCAGUAGUUUAAUACAUGCUUGUGAUAAAUUUAGUGAAAUAUAUUUUAUAAAUUCAUGAGCUGAUAGCUUUUUUCUUCCUUAUACAAUGUUCUGCUUUACCAUGAAACUUUUCUUACCAUUUUCAUUUGACUAUGUUAUUGUAUUUUUAGUAAAUUUCGUUGGAUUAUUCUGUACAUUUUACGUGUAGUAUAACUCCAUUUACACUUCGCUAAGGAAUAUAGCUGCAACAGUCUUAUCAGAUAGAUUAUCUCUCAGCAUUGCAUUGUCAUCUCUUUUAUAUCCAUUAUUGUAACUUUGUUCAUGUAACUUGUGGCUUCAUGUGAUUUCUGUUCCAAAUUAAAUCCUUCUUUGCCUGAGGACAAAUCAUGUUUUAAUUCCAUGUAUUUGUGUGUUGGACACAUAUAUGCAACAUAUGUGGGUUUGCUCACCAAUGCAGGUAUUUGACCAAACUAGAGAUAGAUGUAGUGAUAUCUUACUCAGUUGUUUCUUGGCAUUAUUUUUUGAAACAACACUUCUCACUAAAUCUAGAACUUGCCAUUUCAGUUGGACUGAUAGGGCAAGGAACCACCUGUUAAGAUUCACCCGUCUCUGUCCCCUUCUGGGCUUUGUGUGCACUGCCACACCCAGUUUUCAUGUGUGUGAUAGGGAUCUUAACCCAGGUCCUCAUGCUUUCAGGGCAAACAAGUUUACCCAGUAAGCCACCUCCAAGCCAUAUCUUUGUAAUUUCAUGGUUUUCUGUUCUUGUCUCAUUGCUCCUGUCGGAAGCUGUCUAACCCUUUUCAGUGAUACUUAUUAACUAAGUAUAGCAUGUUCAUUAUCAGCACCAGUUUUGUGUGCACCACACUAACUUGUCUGAAAUUAUUUUGGUGAACUAAUUGCCUUACUAAUCUUUCUAUAUCUUGACAUUUCUAUCACAUUUAUUUUUAUUAUUAACACUGACUACUUCAAUUUUUCUUAAUUAUGUUUGCAUCCUUAAGUUUAAUUCAGUUUUCUAAAGGAUACAAGAACAUGAUUUUUCCUCUGUAUUCUUUUCAGCACAACAUAAUUAAGAAUAAGUGUUCAUAAAAAUAAUAGUUGUUCAAUUAAUUAUUUUAAUAUUAACUGUUCUGUGAUUUUUUAACUCCAGUAUUUCAUGUGAUUCAUGCCUUUGUGAACUAUUUAAUGAAUUCAAAUUAAUGUGUACCUUGUUUUCAUUGCUGUAAUCUGGUUGUCACGGUUAUGUUCCUAAUAACUUUCUUUUAUAGAAGCUUAAGUGAAAAUGGUACAUGUUAGAAGACACG